AUAUUACUCCCUCCGUCCAACAAAAGAUGUCUCAAGUUUGUUAAAAUUUGGAUGUAUCUAGACAUGACUUAGUGUAUAGAUGCAUUCAAAUUUGGUCAAAGUUGAGACAUCCUUUGUUUGACGGAGGGAGUAUGAC
rfam:Brachypodium distachyon strain Bd21 chromosome 5, whole genome shotgun sequence.